AUGUCGUUUGAACUGCUCGAGGUUCCAUAUGAGGGCGCUCACAGGCGAGUGCAGAAUUAAUGGAGGUCUAUGGAGCUAUACCCCUCAAAAUCAACUUUUCUCAGGAUAUAAUUUUUUGUCGAGUAAUUUGAACGUUGCAUUCGAAAGGGCAGGCAAAGAAAAUACACACUGUUUGUGUGUUAAAAAAUGUUUAAAUCGCUUUUUUGUUCUAAAAAUACUUUUAAAAUGUCAAUGACGUCAUACAAUCAGCAUUCAUUAGCAGAAUGCUAGCGUGUUAUGGGCAACAACGACUCGCCCUGUAAGAAAUCGAAAGGACAUAAGUACUCGUUCAUUCAACUUUCGACCUAUAAUCCAUGUUGAACUUGCAAAAACUCCAAUCAAAUCUGAGAUUUCUCGACGACAAUCAGGCGAAAGAGACAAACUUAGCCGUUUAGCUCCAUAGACUCCCGUUAAUUUUGCACUCGCCCGCGAGUGGAACUCCGUAGACGGGCUCUGACAGCCCCAAGUCAAUGGACGCCAGGCUUCAACAGGGAAAUGCACUGUGACGCUACAGGAAAGUAUUGGAAGGAAAUAGAGUCAGUCUACCUGCUAGGCCUAUAUGUAUCUGACGAACUCAUCUUCGAGAUGAACGUGUUCUAACGCAUUUAAAAUGUUAACACAAUAGUAGGCUAAGUAGCCUAUUCAUUAUUUUUUAGGGGAAGCCGAGCUUCUUCUUCUUGCAGUCUUCUUCUUGCAGUCAGAAAGAAAUCGCCACUGGAGUAGCAGGACAAAGGUUGCUGUCUAGUUAAGCCACACAUGGAGGAGUUCUCGCCACCCUACUAUUGCAACAUUAUAUCCACGCCCAGAAGGCUAAAGUUUUAACUAUACCCCCGGCAAUCGGUAGUCAAGGUAAUCAGGACAACGAUAAGCUAUGCCCUGGGGAGAGCUGAGUUCCGGGAACUCACUAACACAAACGAAUCUUAUUUUGGUUGUGCCCAACACACAAGCCUUUGACAGUAGGAAGAGAGGACUGUUUCCGUGGACCGAGACAAGGAGGAAAGAUGCUGGGUUUUACACCCAACAUGAAGCUUUACAGCCUGUGCGUGAUAGGCGGACUACUACUGCCAGGUUUUUGAUCUGGGAUCGAAAGAGAAGAAAAGCCUUCUGAAAACGUCGAAUGAAGACCUUGCUGGAAACCAACGGUUUCUUUGAACCCGAGAUGGCGAGCCACCCACGCGAGUGAAACCUUCUGGAGCGAGUGCAAACUCUAGACGACGAUAAGUGAACUUUAUGCCAGAACCAAUCAUACCGAAAAGAAGUGAUUGAUCAUUUAUUUUGUUUACAAUUCGAAUCUUUUGUAAUUGAAUGCACUUUGAUGGUUUUGAGGACCCGUUAGUUGAUGUAAUGUUGUUUAUUUUUCUUGUUUUUGAUAUUGUAUAUUCUACUGUGUACCUUUUAAGGGAAACUAAAUACCGUAGUGUGGUUUAAACAUAUUUAAGGGUUUACUGAAUAACCAAGCUAAACCAAACAAUCUUAACUGAAGUAAGGUUUAAAAGAUAAUUAGGAAAUCUACAUUUAAAAUUAAUUUCUUUAAUGAAUGAAUGAUAAGUAAACUAAAAGUAUACAGUUAAAUAUCAUUCUAAAUUAGGAAAACCAUGGUAAAUAAAUAGAUAUCAAAUUAAGAAAUUCCAAGUCAAUUUACAUUCAUAACUAAACAGAUAUAUAGCAGCAUAUAAAAGAAUCACCACAUUUACUUCAAACAAAAUUCAUUGGAUUUAUUAUUUUUCAUACAUUCUGUAAAGUACUAAGUUGUAGUAGAUUUCAGAGUAGUUGGUUUGCUACAGAAAAUAAAUCUUUGUAAUCAUC